GAAUCUUCGGAUUCUAGUGGCGGACGGGUGAGUAAUGCGUAAGAAUCUAACUUCAGGACGGGGACAACAGUUGGAAACGACUGCUAAUACCCGAUGUGCCGCAAGGUGAAAUCUAAUUGGCCUGGAGAAGAGCUUGCGUCUGAUUAGCUAGUUGGUGGGGUAAGAGCCUACCAAGGCGACGAUCAGUAGCUGGUCUGAGAGGAUGAGCAGCCACACUGGGACUGAGACACGGCCCAGACUCCUACGGGAGGCAGCAGUGGGGAAUUUUCCGCAAUGGGCGAAAGCCUGACGGAGCAACGCCGCGUGAGGGAGGAAGGUCUUUGGAUUGUAAACCUCUUUUCUCAAGGAAGAAGUUCUGACGGUACUUGAGGAAUCAGCCUCGGCUAACUCCGUGCCAGCAGCCGCGGUAAUACGGGGGAGGCAAGCGUUAUCCGGAAUUAUUGGGCCGUAAAGCGUCCGCAGGUGGUCAGCCAAGUCUUGCCGUCAAAUCAGGUUGCUUA
rnacentral:rRNA from 1 species